GCUUGUCUCAAAGAUUAAGCCAUGCAUGUCUAAGUGUAAAUAAGUCUAUACUGUGAAACUGCGAAUGGCUCAUUAAAUCAGUUAUCGUUUAUUUGAUGAUCUCUUACUACUUGGAUAACCGUAGUAAUUCUAGAGCUAAUACAUGCACAAAAUCCCGACUUACGAAGGGAUGUAUUUAUUAGAUUCAAAGCCAACCGUGUAAAAAGCGUACCUUGGUGAUUCAUAAUAACUUGUCGAACCGCACGCCCUUGAGGCAGCGGUGAUUCAUUCAAAUUUCUGCCCUAUCAGCUUUCGACGGUAGUGUAGUGGACUACCGUGGCGUUAACGGGUAACGGAGAAUUAGGGUUCGAUUCCGGAGAGGGAGCCUGAGAAACGGCUACCACAUCCAAGGAAGGCAGCAGG
rnacentral:rRNA from 1 species